GAUGAACGCUGGCGGCGUGCUUAACACAUGCAAGUCGAACGGAAAGGCCAGUGCUUGCACUGGUACUCGAGUGGCGAACGGGUGAGUAACACGUGGGUGAUCUGCCCUGCACUUCGGGAUAAGCCUGGGAAACUGGGUCUAAUACCGGAUAGGACAAUGGUUUGGAUGCCGUUGUGGAAAGUUUUUUCGGUGUGGGAUGAGCUCGCGGCCUAUCAGCUUGUUGGUGGGGUAAUGGCCUACCAAGGCGUCGACGGGUAGCCGGCCUGAGAGGGUGUACGGCCACAUUGGGACUGAGAUACGGCCCAGACUCCUACGGGAGGCAGCAGUGGGGAAUAUUGCACAAUGGGCGCAAGCCUGAUGCAGCGACGCCGCGUGGGGGAUGACGGCCUUCGGGUUGCAAACUCCUUUCGCUAGGGACGAAGCGUAUUUGUGACGGUACCUGGAGAAGAAGCACCGGCUAACUACGUG
rnacentral:rRNA from 1 species